rnacentral:tRNA from 1 species
GCGUAGUUUAGUGGUUAGAGCAUUCGACUCACGAUCGUAAGGUCGGGAUUUCAAUUCCCGGCAACGCG